rnacentral:rRNA from 1 species
UACGUAGGGGGCAAGCGUUGUCCGGAAUCAUUGGGCGUAAAGAGCUCGUAGGCGGUUACGAAAGUCGGUUGUGAAAGCCCGGGGCUCAACCCCGGGACUGCAUUCGAUACUUCGUUGACUAGAGUCCGGUAGAGGAAGGUGGAAUUCCUGGUGUAGCGGUGGAAUGCACAGAUAUCAGGAGGAACACCGGUGGCGAAGGCGGCCUUCUGGGCCGGUACUGACGCUGAGGAGCGAAAGCUAGGGGAGCGAACAGG